rnacentral:rRNA from 1 species
CCUACGGGAGGCAGCAGUGGGGAAUAUUGGACAAUGGGCGAAAGCCUGAUCCAGCAAUGCCGCGUGAGUGAUGAAGGCCUUCGGGUCGUAAAGCUCUUUUACCAGGGAUGAUAAUGACAGUACCUGGAGAAUAAGCUCCGGCUAACUCCGUGCCAGCAGCCGCGGUAAUACGGAGGGAGCUAGCGUUGUUCGGAAUUACUGGGCGUAAAGAGUACGUAGGCGGUUAUUCAAGUCAGAGGUGAAAGCCCGGGGCUCAACCCCGGAACUGCCUUUGAAACUAGAUAACUAGAGUCUUGGAGAGGUUAGUGGAAUUCCGAGUGUAGAGGUGAAAUUCGUAGAUAUUCGGAAGAACACCAGUGGCGAAGGCGACUAACUGGACAAGUACUGACGCUGAGGUACGAAAGCGUGGGGAGCAAACAGGAUUAGAUACCCUGGUAGUCCACGCCGUAAACGAUGAUAACUAGUUGUUCGGUCACUUGGUGAUGAGUGACGCAGACUACGACAUAAGUUAUCCGUCCGUCGGGUAGGUACGGUCGCGAGAGUAAACUACAAAGAAGUAGAGGCGNGUAAGAGUGCGACGACGACGACGAGGGAGGAGG